ensembl:lncRNA
UCACCUUCACCCUGCUGCAAGGAUUGCUUAUCUUCAGCAACUCCAGCAGGUGUUACAGAGAAAUGUUUCUGAUCCAGGCCUGAGCCUUUGGCAGUGUCGGGCUGCCCACCUGACUCUUCCAAGGCGACAGUGGGUGAGAAUUCUGCCCGAGGAGUAGAGAGAAGCCUUAGGCUCUUUGGGCUGCCUUUGCUGUCCUCUGCAGGGCGUGGACAGAAUCCCAUUAGCAAGAAGCAAAAUAACUGAUGCUGAUUGUAAAUGGCUUUUUAGCUUAGUGUAUUUUAAGUCUCUGUCAGUGUAUUUGAAGAGUAUUUGUUUUAGGGAAUGGCAGCUUAUGCAGAGGAUCACCAAACUAUAACAUAGAAAUGAAUUUAUUUCAGUAACAGACACUAAUAUCUAUUUUAAUUUCCCCAUGGAUUUCCAGUGUAUAUGACUAAAAUAUUAUAUUGUUAAAAAUGAGAGGAAAACAACACAAAGGUGUUUGUAAGUAUGUUCUAUUUCUAGACUUAAGGCUGUAUUAUGUUGGAAUUUUACAAGCCAAGUUUAAAUUGUAAUAUAGAAAUUAUUUUUAUAUUAUUUUCAAAAUACGCUACAGAGCAAUAUUUUGCGCCUUUAUUAUAAACAGGGUCAUCAUUUUAGUAGGUUACUUUUAGAAAUGCUGGUAGAAAUUAACCAUGGAAAGAAAGCUUUGUAAAUGUACUUGUUGUUUCUAACUGCUCUGUCUAUUGUGCACAUCUGUAUCUAAUGUGAGUUGAAUAUACAAUUUUUUUUUUAAUUGAAAAGCUUUAAAUUUUUCUUUAUAUAUUUUGGUACAACACUGUUCCUCUCUAAUUCUCUUCCAGUCCUAACCAAUAGUCACUUUUAUAAGCAGCUUCUGAAUAAACAUGCAUAUGGAAAAUUUCCUUACCAAAUGAAACAUUUCUGCACAGAUAUUGAUUGACGUGGGACAUUCAUAACACACCCUGAACCCAUUGGAGUAGGAUUCAUUUGCUUUUUUUAAAAAGAGAAUCAGCUAUUUAUUAUUCCUUCGGAAUGAAAAUCAAGAAUGAAUGCAAUCAUUCCGUAUCUGGAGUAAAAAAAAAUCAUUCUAGAUCAUAGAAAUUUCAUCCUCUUAAUAUGUAUCAAGUAUGCAUUGGCUUCUUGCAGAUUGAAGUGUUCAGAUUUUAUUUCUUCACAGUUCUUUGUACUGUACAUAUCAAUUACUGAUGAACUGUGCAAAGAAAAAGACUUCACAAACUAAUGCAUAUGUUAAAUUAGAAGUCUGUGUUAUUUGUAAAACUCCCUAACUUUUGCAGUUUAGUUUGUUGGGAUUUGUUGUUUAAGGAUUACUAUUAAAGUAUUUACUGCAACCAAAAUUUUCAAACCUGGAUACCUAAUGAUUGCGCAUCUGGGUUUCUCCUGAUCGAUACACUGGUUUUAAGGUGUCCUGAGCAUCAGUUUGUGUGGGAAGAAAGGUUCCCUCUUGGUUUCAGAAAAUCAUUUGAGUGUUACUCCAACACAUAUUCAGGUCUUUUCCUUAUUAACACUCUACACUUCUUUUCAGUCAGUGGAAUUUGCAUUUUAUCUUUAGUGACCUUCCAUGUGUGAACAAAUAAUUUGGCUUAUUCAUAAAUGAUUGUUUUGAGGAUGGAGAGACUUGCCUUGUACCAAAACACCACAUAAUUGUUUAACUGUUGCAUUAUUAAUGGGGCUCUUUUAUUCCACUGCAGGGGUGGGGAAAUAAGACCUUAUUUUUUCCUUGGGUAUCGUGAUCCUAUUAUUUGUCUGGUUGGGUUAUUCCUCUGAAGUGAAAAUGCUGUUCUGAUUGCUGUUUUCCGAUGUUCUGUCUCCCAGUACCUGAAUGCCUGUACUGUACCAAGAGAAUUGAAAUGGCUGAUGCACAUUUGCACUGCUGAACAGCCAUGUGGGCUAAGCCACCGUGUUCCAAACAGCCUUAAAAUUACGGCUCUCUGGGGACUGAGAGUCACUUAACUGGAUGCAGCCUCUGUCCUGCUUCCUCAUUUAACCAUGACUGUAAAACUUUCAAGCCUGCUGUAGUCUGUGUGUCUCUAGACACAUUCAUCUGAAUACCCUGUGAUCUUAACAGAAUUUUUUCUUUAAAAACUAGUGAUUCUUUGAUGAGUGUUAGUGUGUCAGGAAACCCUAAUCAAGAGAGGAGAUGGAGUUAAACUAGAGAAAUUAUUGUAGCUAGUGGAGGAACCAGGGCACCAAAAUACUAAAAAGGGAGAAAAUAGUUAAGAUGUAUCACAACUUAUUUCCUGUUAACACUGUAUGUUUUGUAGAUCUUCCUGUAUUCUGGGAAACAGAAAAAUGUUUUUGCCAUUCAUCUCUGCAUCUAAUGGAGCCUCUUGCUUUGUUGUAGAGGUUUGCUAUUGGGGAAGAAGGGAGAAAGGGAAGUUCUCCUCCCUUCUUAAAGAAAAUUCUAGGGGCAGAAUCAUCUGAGGUUGCAAAAAUAUGAUCCAAUGUUGUAAUUAAAUAGUGCCUAACUCUUAUGUGCAUUCUGUAUUUAAUUUCCAUUUUGCCACUUUCAAACACCAUUGAUUUAGAAAAAUAAGGAGGGGGAAGUUAAGAGACUAAGUUGGUAUGUUAAUGACCCAGUUAUUCCUUUUUUCACAUGUGGAAUCUAUAUAAACAUGAAAAGAGUCACACUUGAGUUGCACUUCCCCUGCUGAGAGGUAAAAGCCACCUUUAUAGGUAAAUUCCAUGCAAUUGCUUUGCCACAGAGUGGCAUGAAGGCUGACAGCAUGUCAGGAGCCUGAGAGCCAUAGCUUGAAACAACAGGUCUUGAUCGUUCUUGCCUUUAACACAGAUGCAGUUCAUUCUGGCCCGUGAUGAACGAACAGUACCUUUGUAGUGAAGAUGCAGUGGAACACUGCCCUGCUGCCAUUUGCUUCCAGGUGUGAGUAACAACAAGCCUCCUCCCCAUUCUUUUGAUUAAAAUAUGCAGGAGAUGCAGCAGCAGGAUGUGGCAUCUCAGGCUCAGAGAAUGCCCCAUAUCUCCUUUAAAUGGGCUUUGCAAUCAGGUAUGAAUUGAAACACAGCCAUGUGGGCGCAACAGAAGCGCUCUCAUCUCUCAGCUUUGAAAAUCGUGUGCACUUUUAAUACUAACAAAAACUAAGAAAUGGUUUUAUUGUUUAUUUGCUCAAGAUUCUGAGUACUGUAAAUGCAGUCUUUGUAUCAUGCACAGUGUGUGUACAGUACAGAAAUGCUUUUCCCUCAGAGCUGUUAGAGAGUUUUGAAUGCACAUGGUGCCCAACUCUGCCCCCUCACCAUAGCCAAGGGGAGCAAACAGGAUUUAGGCCUAGACUAAAUAAUGGAUGAAAUCAGCCACAUAGAUCUAAACAGCUGCAAGUUCCCAACCGUGGUGUUCUAGGCCAGCUUUGACAGCUUUGUACAAAACUCCAUCCCAAUGACUGAGAUUAGGUUUGUGCUCUUUCCUGGGGAGGAGCAAUUACUUCUGUGUUUUUUCCAAGCCCAUUGCUCUGAGUCUCUAACUCCUGUGUUUGUAAUGUGCCAGGCUUAGCAUGAUUCACCUAGGAAGCAGUUUUUAAAAUCUCCAUAGAUUUGUUGUUUUCUUCUUGGAAUCCAUCUUGAGUUUUACUUUGCAUUCAGUUUUAAGACAUAAAAUAUUGUUAUGAACUUUGCAUAAUGCCUUGAAUUUGUCUCUUGUGGGAUUGAAGGACUUUGUUCUCCUUGAGAGGCCUUGUUCUUCCUCACUGAUUCUUGUGACUAACACUUUUGUAUGGAAAAAGUUGAAUGAACCAUUGAAAGUAUCACUGCUGCUUACAUGUACUUCUGCCAUUUGGUACAUCUUGUGUUGUUAAAACUCAAUGCCUCUCAGACAUGGGCAAAGCUUGAAGGACAGUCUGAAGUAUUAGAUACAAAAGGUAUAUGUAGUUAAUUCAUCAGAACUCUACUGUUGCUAUUGUGUAAUAUGCCCCCUCCAAUUGUUUGUACAUCUUUUUUCCUAUUGCUAACUUUUUUUAAAAUCUUCUAUUUUCUUAGACAAAUUCUAAAGCUCUUUGUCCUUAAAGCCUGUGAUAGAUUUUCCAAUAAAGAAGAUUUGGCUUUUGCAGUUCAGGUUGCAUUUAGAGUGGCUUUUCUCCCAAACAAUAAUUACAAGUAACAGAUGUUGCACCUUUGGCUUAAAGAAGUAUAUUUACUCAUUAACUGAGAGUCUCUGUUCAAUUAUAACCAAAGCUAAUUAUAUAAAAUUUAAAGUGUCAGGACUGGUAAUGUGACUCUACCUAGCAAACUCAGCAUUUUUAACCCAUAGAAAUGUACAAUAAACGUGUUUGUACUUGAAGUCCAUUUCAAAGAAGGUAGUUGGCUCUCACUGGGGCUUAAGAAAAUGUUAAUAAGGAAUAAAGUAAGUCUCAUUGAUUUUGGUUGGCUGAGAAUUCAACUUCUUCGUAGUCUUACCACUCUUCUCAUUUUUCAGAAUCUGAGUUUGUUGUUGCCUUCUAUAAGUUUAUACUCUUUUAGCAAAUGUUGACUUAGGCUUUCAAUAAACUAUGUAAUAGGAAUUACAGAAAUUUAUUUAUAGCUGAAAUUACUCUUCAGGUUUUUUGUUUGAUCAUUUUCAUGCAAAAAGGGAUGAAUUUGUCUUUUCCCAUUUCUCCACCCUAUUUAUAAUUUCAAAACACAAUUGGUUGCAGUCACCUUUCUCUGCAAAAGAAAACAGUUGAUAAUUUUUAAGCUGACUACCAUAUUGUUUGAAUCCACUGUUCAAAAGAAACAGGAGCAUUAAUUAACAUUCAAGAAUAAGGAAUAUUUCUUGUUGUGCAAAAUGUGAGUUCUUGAGAACCUUUUCUACAUGCAGUUUUCAUUUAACUUGAAUGUCAUUUUUAAUCUGAUCCAUACUUUGACAAAGAUGAUGUGUAAGAGCUGUUUUUAGCAGUUGGAUUGUUACUUUGUAAAGUAUUAAAGCACUAAACCAAUUUUUGCAAUAGGUAGUAAAACUUGCUUUUGUUUUGAAAAACUUCCAGUUAUAACUGUUGCACUUUUUAUAGCAGAACUGUAUUUAAUUUCUUUCUUUUAUGAAAGAUUACUCAAAGUAACUGAUAGCUCUGUAAUCUGUGUGAAUUGGCUUCUCCAUUAUUUGAAUCUGAGAGAAGCUACAAUGCCUAUUCAAUAAAAUUAACUUAUU